GAAAUGCGAUAAGUAAUGUGAAUUGCAGAAUUCAGUGAAUCAUCGAAUCUUUGAACGCACAUUGCGCCCCCUGGUAUUCCGGGGGGCAUGCCUGUUCGAGCGUCAUUUCACCACUCAAGCCUCGUUUGGUAUUGGGCGACGCGGUCCGCCGCGCGCCUCAAAUCGACCGGCUGGGUCUUCCGUCCCCUCAGCGUUGUGGAAACUAUUCGCUAAAGGGUGCCGCGGGAGGUCACGCCGCAAAACAACCCCAUUUCUAAGGUUGACCUCGGAUCAGGUAGGGAUACCCGCUGAACUUAAGC
rnacentral:misc_RNA from 1 species